UACGUAGGGACCAAGCGUUGUUCGGAUUUACUUGGCGUAAAGGGCGCGUAGGCGGCAAUUCAAGUCAUCUGUGAAAUCUCCGGGCUUAACUCGGAACGGUCAGAUGAUACUGCUUUGCUAGAGUGCGGAAGGGGCAAUCGGAAUUCUUGGUGUAGCGGUGAAAUGCGUAGAUAUCAAGAGGAACACCUGAGGUGAAGACGGGUUGCUGGGCCGACACUGACGCUGAGUGCGCGAAAGCCAGGGGAGCAAACGGG
rnacentral:rRNA from 1 species